rnacentral:pre_miRNA from 2 species
AUGUAGGAUAAUCUGUGUUUUAAUAGGAAUAAAUUACUCUAAAAGAAAUAAAACCUAGAUACUCUUCCCUUCAAGUCAAGCAUCUUGU